rnacentral:rRNA from 1 species
AUACGUAGGUCCCGAACGUUGCGCGAAAUUACUGGGCGUAAAGGGUCCGUAGGCGGUCUGGUAAGUGGAAGGUGAAAGCCUGGGGCUCAACUCCAGAAUUGCCUUCCAAACUGCCGGACUUGAGGCAGGGAGAGGUCGGCGGAAUUCCCGGUGUAGUGGUGAAAUGCGUAGAUAUCGGGAAGAACACCAGUGGCGAAGGCGGCCGACUGGAACUGUCCUGACGCUGAGGGACGAAAGCCAGGGGAGCGAACCGGAUUAGAAACCCUAGUAGUCC